GACGAACGCUGGCGGCGUGCUUAACACAUGCAAGUCGAGCGGAGCGGCGAACGGGUGAGUAACGCGUGAGUAACUGCCCCCCUCCCUGGGAUAACAGUUGGAAACGGCUGCUAAUACCGGAUAGUGGGGGAUGACUCGCGUCCUAUCAGCUUGUUGGUUGGGUAGUGGCCGACCAAGGCGACGACGGGUAGCCGGCCUGAGAGGGCAAACGGCCACAGUGGGCUGAGAUACGGACCAGACUCGUACGGGAGGCAGCAGUGGGGAAUAUGGCACAAGGGGGCAGACCGUGAGGCAGAAACGCCGGGUGCGGGAUGACGGCCUUCGGGGUGUAAACCGCUUUCAGCCAUGACGCGGUAGUGGCAGAAGAAGCACCGGCUAACUACGUGCCAGCCGCCGCGGUAAUUC
rnacentral:rRNA from 1 species